rnacentral:tRNA from 1 species
GGGAAUGUACCUUGGUGGUAGAGUGCAUAUUUAGCACUCUUGAGGCCCUGGGUUCAAGUCCUAGCAUACCCU